CAGGUCGCUAGGAUCCCUUCGGGGUGACUUUGAUGCUGACGAGCGGCGGACGGGUGAGUAACGCGUAGGAAUCUACCCAGUAGCGGGGGAUAGCCCGGGGAAACCCGGAUUAAUACCGCAUACGCCCUACGGGGGAAAGGGGGGGCUCUCUUCGGAGACCUCUCACUAUUGGAGGAGCCUGCGUUGGAUUAGCUUGUUGGUGAGGUAAAGGCUCACCAAGGCGACGAUCCAUAGCUGGUCUGAGAGGACGAUCAGCCACACUGGAACUGAGACACGGUCCAGACUCCUACGGGAGGCAGCAGUCGGGAAUAUUGUGCAAUGGGCGAAAGCCUGACACAGCCAUGCCGCGUGUGUGAAGAAGGCCUUAGGGUUGUAAAGCACUUUCAGUAAGGAAGAAAAAGCCGAGCCAAUAACUCGGUAAUAUGACAUUACUUACAGAAGAAGCACCGGCUAACUCCGUUCCAGCAGCCGCGGUAAUACGGAGGGUGCAAACGUUAAUCGGAAUUACUGGGCGUAAAGCGCGCGUAGGUGGUUUGUUA
rnacentral:rRNA from 1 species